rnacentral:rRNA from 1 species
AGCGGGAAAAGCUCAAAUUUAAAAUCUGGCGGUCUCUGGCCGUCCGAGUUGUAAUCUAGAGAAGUAAUGCCCRCGCUGGACCGUGUACAAGUCUCCUGGGAUGGAGCAUCAUAGAGGGUGAGAAUCCCGUCUCUGACACGGACUACCAGGGCUUUGUGGUAUGCUCUCAAAGAGUCGAGUUGUUUGGGAAUGCAGCUCAAAAUGGGUGGUAAAUUCCAUCUAAAGCUAAAUAUUGGCGAGAGACCGAUAGCGAACAAGUACCGUGAGGGAAAGAUGAAAAGAACUUUGGAAAGAGAGUUAAACAGUACGUGAAAUUGCUGAAAGGGAAACGCUUGAAGUCAGUCGCGUUGGCCAGGAAUCAGCCUCGCUUUUGCGUGGUGUACUUUCUGGUUGAUGGGUCAGCAUCAAUUUUGACCACUGGAAAAAGGCCUGGGGAAUGUGGCAGCUUCGGCUGUGUUAUAGCCCCUGGUUGCAUACAGUGGUUGGGAUUGAGGAACUCAGCACGCCGCAAGGCCGGGUUUCGACCACGUUCGUGCUUAGGAUGCUGGCAUAAUGGCUUUAAGCGACCCGUCUUGAAACACGGACCAAGGAGUCUAACAUGCCUGCGAGUAUUUGGGUGGAAAACCCGAGUGCGUAAUGAAAGUGAAAGUUGAGAUCCCUGUCGUGGGGAGCAUCGACGCCCGGACCAGAACUUUUGGGACGGAUCCGCGGUAGAGCAUGUAUGUUGGGACCCGAAAGAUGGUGAACUAUGCCUGAAUAGGGUGAAGCCAGAGGAAACUCUGGUGGAGGCUCGUAGCGAUUCUGACGUGCAAAUCGAUCGUCAAAUUUGGGUAUAGGGGCGAAAGACUAAUCGAACCAUCUAGUAGCUGGUUCCUGCC